rnacentral:tRNA from 1 species
GAAACUUAGGCUAAAUCUUAAACCAGUGGCCUUCAAAGCCACAAACAAGAGUUAAAACCUCUUAGUCUCUG